rnacentral:rRNA from 1 species
UACAGAGGGGGCAAGCGUUGUUCGGAAUUACUGGGCGUAAAGGGCGCGUAGGCGGCCAACUAAGUCAGACGUGAAAUCCCCCGGCUCAACCGGGGAACUGCGUCUGAUACUGGAUGGCUUGAGUUCGGGAGAGGGAAGUGGAAUUCCAGGUGUAGCGGUGAAAUGCGCAGAUAUCAGGAGGAACACCGGUGGCGAAGGCGGGUCUCUGGGCCGAUACUGACGCUGAGGAGCGAAAGCGUGGGGAGCGAACAGG